rnacentral:rRNA from 1 species
UGCAUGGUUGUCGUCAGCUCGUGCCGUGAGGUGUCGGGUUAAGUCCCAUAACGAGCGCAACCCCUAUCGUUAGUUGCCAGCAAGUAAAUUGGGGGACUCUAGCGAGACUGCCGGUGUAAACCGUGAGGAAGGUGGGGAUGACGUCAAAUCAGCACGGCCCUUAUAUCCAGGGCUACACACGUGUUACAAUGGUCGGUACAAAGAGCAGCCACUUGGUGACAAGGCGCUAAUCUCAAAAGCCGAUCUCAGUUCGGAUCGAAGUCUGCAACUCGACUUCGUGAAGUUGGAUUCGCUAGUAAUCGCGCAUCAGCCAUGGCGCGGUGAAUACGUUCCCGGGCCUU